GGCGAGUGGCGAACGGGUGAGUAACAUAUCGGAACGUACCGAGCAGUGGGGGAUAACUAAUCGAAAGAUUAGCUAAUACCGCAUAUAUUCUGAGGAAGAAAGCAGGGGACCAUUUGGCCUUGCGCUGUUUGAGCGGCCGAUAUCUGAUUAGCUAGUUGGUGGGGUAAAGGCCUACCAAGGCGACGAUCAGUAGCGGGUCUGAGAGGAUGAUCCGCCACACUGGGACUGAGACACGGCCCAGACUCCUACGGGAGGCAGCAGUGGGGAAUUUUGGACAAUGGGCGCAAGCCUGAUCCAGCCAUGCCGCGUGUCUGAAGAAGGCCUUCGGGUUGUAAAGGACUUUUGUCAGGGAAGAAAAGGAUAGGGUUAAUACCCCUGUCUGAUGACGGUACCUGAAGAAUAAGCACCGGCUAACUACGUGCCAGCAGCCGCGGUAAUACGUAGGGUGCGAGCGUUAAUCGGAAUUACUGGGCGUAAAGCGGGCGCAGACGGUUACUUAAGCAGGAUGUGAAAUCCCCGGGCUCAACCUGGGAACUGCGUUCUGAACUGGGUAACUAGAGUGUGUCAGAGGGAGGUAGAAUUCCACGUGUAGCAGUGAAAUGCGUAGAGAUGUGGAGGAAUACCGAUGGCGAAGGCAGCCUCCUGGGAUAACACUGACGUUCAUGCCCGAAAGCGUGGGUAGCAAACAGGAUUAGAUACCCUGGUAGUCCACGCCCUAAACGAUGUCGAUUAGCUGUUGGGCAGCUUGACUGCUUAGUAGCGAAGCUAACGCGUGAAAUCGACCGCCUGGGGAGUACGGUCGCAAGAUUAAAACUCAAAGGAAUUGACGGGGACCCGCACAAGCGGUGGAUGAUGUGGAUUAAUUCGAUGCAACGCGAAGAACCUUACCUGGUCUUGACAUGUACGGAACCCUCCAGAGACGGAGGGGUGCCUUCGGGAGCCGUAACACAGGUGCUGCAUGGCUGUCGUCAGCUCGUGUCGUGAGAUGUUGGGUUAAGUCCCGCAACGAGCGCAACCCUUGUCAUUAGUUGCCAUCAUUAAGUUGGGCACUCUAAUGAGACUGCCGGUGACAAGCCGGAGGAAGG
rnacentral:rRNA from 1 species